UGUUUUUCUAUGCCAAAGCCAUGAAGUUUUUAUAGCCUGUUUCUGAAAAUCUCUGCCAAGUCUUACACCCGCCACUGAGAGCUUCAUCAGCCGUGGAGUCCAAAGGGAAGAGAAUUAGUCAGUGGCCACUGGGCAUCCAGGAUGGGAUAAACUACAUAAACUACAAAUUGCAGCCCAUCAACUGUACUUACCCAAGAAGGUUGCAAUGGCUGUGGCCUUCAUGAAACCAAGAUUUCACAUACUUAUUUCAGAAGCCAGUGUCAGAAGAGGGCAUGAUGGGCAUGGGCAUGUUCUGACAUCUAUUCAAAUCUGUUCAGUGCUCUUCUGAGAAAUAAUCACAGCAUCGUCCUUUCUGCACAUCAAAGCACACCAGAUUUCACCAACAAGAAUAGAAGAUGUAGACCACGGAAGACUGAGUUUCUGCCCCAAAUUACCACCUAUUUUGAGAUGCAAUUUGGUGGAAAGGCUUUCUCCAAAACAGGGGAGACUGACUUCCUGCAUAAGUAUUUGCCCUUGCAAGCAUUUGUAUGAAGUUGCUCUGUUGGAUCUACUCUAAACUUCUCUAACCUCUCACUCCCCUCACCUGGAC
rnacentral:lncRNA from 1 species